rnacentral:rRNA from 1 species
UACGUAGGGGGCAAGCGUUGUCCGGAAUUAUUGGGCGUAAAGAGCGUGUAGGCGGCCAGAUAAGUCCGCUGUGAAAUCUAGAGGCUCAACUUCGAGCUGUCGGUGGAAACUAUCUGGCUAGAGUCCGGAAGAGGAGAAUGGAAUUCCUGGUGUAGCGGUGAAAUGCGCAGAUAUCAGGAAGAACACCCGUGGCGAAGGCGGUUCUCUGGGACGGUACUGACGCUGAGACGCGAAAGCGUGGGGAGCGAACAGG